rnacentral:snoRNA from 1 species
CUCUGGUGAUGAUCCGAUGACGAGUCGGAAGGGCCCCUGCCUCUGUGUGGGGCGUCACGUUCUGUGGUGCCUCUGCAGAGAGCGAGGCCCAGCCUGAAGACCCUGAGGCAUUUGUCUGAGGAGG